rnacentral:lncRNA from 1 species
GCAUUGCUGUUGAGAUACCUGAGGCCACUCUCACUUCUGACCCUUUGUUGUGACUUCACCUGCACCUUCUCUACUUGGAACAUUGUAGUUCUCAGUGCUCUGAUAUUUCACUGUGAUCUACAUCAGGGAAGGUAUUUUUUCAUCUCUAUAGCUGAGAAUUUGGUGGGCUCCCUCAAAACAACAAAAUGACACACAAGAACAAUUAGUUUUGUUAAGAAAACAGUAUUAAGUUGGCAAACUCAUUGAUGAAGAACAAACCCUCUUUGUCUGGAGCCUAAAAUCGUGACUCCGUCUCAAAAAAAAAAUAAUAAUAAUAAUAAUAAAACAAAGCCAGAAAAACAGGUAUAUAAUCUCGUGUUUGUAUAUUCCUGCUAGAGAAUUGGAAAUGUGCUAAAACUUGGGCAUGUUUUACACUGACUGAGACACACUAAUGGUGGCCCAUGAAACUGGCCUGUAAGGCAGACUGUCUCACAGAUGGCGCCCAGAGAUUCCAGCCCCUGGGGUUAAUGAU